CAAUGUAUCUUUAUCUAAGCUCAUAAAUAAAAAGUAAUUCUCUUUUAAAACACAAAUUUCUAGAGAACCAAUAUUAUUUGCAAGAUAUUUAUUUUAAAUCACAACCCAUUUAAUUUGCUUUAAUCACAACCCAUUAUUUUCUAACAUUCAGAACUAGCCUGCCGUGACAAAUUAUACCCAUCAUCUUCAUUCGUCAUUGUUAUCUUCAUCUCCUCUAGUCUUCAUUCUCCACCUAGCUAGGGCUAUAUUAUCCACCCAAUGUGUUGAGCCAUGAAUCCCCUUAAUGUGGGUUAGUUGAGUUUCCACCUUAAUCCAUAUGAAGAAAUCCAAGAGGGGAGGAGAAAUUCAAUCCAUGGACUGUUUCCCAAUUAAAGAUGGAUAACAAAUUACUAAACUGAGCCUUUGUUGUUGUUGUUGUUGAGUUUUUGUUUUGUUGUCAUCGUCUCUAGGUUUUUCCCAUCUCCCUCCAUUUGAUCUCUCUAAUGUUGGAAUGCAUAUGCUCUUCCGUAUACAUAGUUGGCCAGCAUUAGUUAUAUUUAAUUAUUUAUGGAUCAAACAAUUUCUGUAAAAAGGACGAUUUAUCUUUAUGAUAGUCCAAAAAUAAUAAGAAUACGACUCCUAUAGAAACAUGGAAUACUUAAAUUAAAUGGUUGAAUAACACCUAAUUUCCAUGAGUGUUAUAAAGAUUUAACUCUUGCGAAGAUUGAGGAUAAUGCAGCAACACGUCAUAGGUAAACAAAAUUGAGUGAACGAUAAGGAUCCGAAGAGUCCUGAUGUCAUUUAGAUAUGAUGUUUCUGAUUGUAACACGGGUUAAUUGAGAGGCCGGUCUGUCUAAUUAUAAAAUCCAACAGGUUUUAAUUCCGAGUCACUUGUUCAAUCGACUGGACCUGCUGUUUGGUCUGAUUCUGAGUAACUACAAUAUGAACCAACUUAAUCUUUUGAUUUUAGUAUAAACAAUAGUAUUUGUAAAGGUAGGCUUAGCUGUAGGACGAUGUUUACAACCAAAGUUUAACUGUCAGGUCAAGGCCUGGCUUGACGUGGGAGGGAGGCCUGCGGAAUCACACAAAACUUCCACCACUUCCUUCCUAGCGUCUCCAAAUUUAACGUACAACCUGGCCGUUUCAAUUUUUCAAUGUUAAAAACCAACCCAAAGAACUCGAGCAAAAGGAAAUGGAUCAUUCCCUUUAUUUAUUUAUACCAGCCAUUCUAUGCAUCCUUCUUUGUAAAACUUACGUACAACAACCAGUCAAGUGCCUUCACGUUCAAACACGAGGAAAAUACUCACCUCACAUUCUUCUCCAUCUGCCUUUCAACUUGAAGGAGCUCGAACAGGUCUUCUUAAAAAACUGAAACCUGAGUGGUUAGGAAAGAAAGUGCUGGUGAUUAAAGUGCUCCUUUGUAUAUCUAAUAAUCGUAAAAAGCAUAGGAACAGAUUCUUCGUCUGUUGAAUCAAUAUCUUCUACGAAUCAUUACCAAAUGGAAAAAUCCUCGAACGGAAGACCCGAGGAGACCCUGAAAGUAGGAGCACAUGAUGAAGAGAAGGAAGUUCAAGUUGUAUUGGAAGAUUCUGCGGCGUCAAAACCAGAUGUUGAGCUUGUGAGAGACAUUUUUACUGAUGGGAACUCUAAGUCUGUUAAUGAAACGACAGAUGGGAAGAAUUCCUGCUCAAGUAGUAGCAGUACGGUCGAAGACGCAGAACCUGAGGGAAAGAGUCCUCAGGUGGAGAAUUCAGAGAAUUUUGAAGAGGAGAAACUGGUUUCUGAUUCAGUUGUUGAGUCAGUUGAACUUGAACCAGGGGUUUCUUCGACUGAAGAGUUCAGUCAAGGUAUCAACCCAUCAGUUGAGAAAUCUGGGGAUUCCGAUGCUGCUGGGUUGGAUGCCAAAGACACAGAAGAGAAAGCUUUACCAUCUCUGGACGAGACUAACGCGGAUUCUCCAAUAUUACAAGAUUUGUCAGUAAAUGGUUUAAAGGAAGAAACAGAGCAGCUGUCCUCUGCUGAGACAACUAGGGAUUCUGCACUCCUAACAGGUAAACCGAAGGGAAUUGAUCAGGAAACAACUCUUCCAGGUUUGGAUAAGACUAAUGGCUCCAAGGUUGAAGCAGAUGUAAUGUCUUGUUUGACUGAGAACAGUGGAGUUCCAGCAGCUGCAGUAGCCCAAGGAAUCACGGAAACCAAAAUUCCAGCUUCUGAUAAUGAUGCUGGAGGAUCAUCAGGGUCCUCUGAUUUGGCAUCUAAGGAAAAUAUUAAAGAUUCAUUGCUGGCAGCAAAUGUUUCUAUCGUUGAGACCAGAGAUGCUGGUGAACUAGUAAACCAGCCUGAGACCGGUGAAAGCUCGGGAAAUCAGCCUAUCGUAUCUAUGAGUCAUCAUCCCGUGCAACCAACUUCUUGGAAGAGUUGCUGUGGACUUUUUGAAGUUCUGCGGCGCUCCGACAGAUAAACUCACGUGUCUUUCCUGUUGAUGGAACAAUAUUCUGGUGCUUCAUUAAUCACGCUAGUGGUCUAAUCUGCAAGUAAGAGGGACAGAGUACUACUCAAAAAAAAAAAAAGUUACACAAAAUUACAAGUUGUUGUGGGUUUAUAGGUUUUUAUGAAGCUUUUUUCAGCAUUUUCUGCAAAAGAGUCACUGAGAAGAAAUGUUUAAAGUAUGUUGAGAAUGUACUAGAGCUUGGAUGUUGGAUCUGCCGUGUGUGGAGCGAGUGUUUCAUCAGCUGGCCUUGUAGUUACAUUCGUUUGUGUAUUUGCAUAUUUAUUUCUGUGAUGAUAUGAUUUCAUUUCCUAUUGGUAAGUUGAGUUUUCCCCUCGACUCACCAAAGUUUAAUGGCAAGAAUGAUUUAGAUUACAUGGAUCGCAGUAGCAGUUUCAGUUAAUACUAGGAAGAAAAAAUAGCUCGGUUAUACUUGGAAAUGACUAAAACAAGAAAAUGGCUCUAUCCUGUCCGAAUACUAGGUUUAAAACGUAGGGUAAAAGCUGCUGGUUAAAUUUGCCAAUUGCGACCACCUAUUCUCCAGCAGAGGUAGGACUGUAGGAGCAAAAACCAGGGAGUGGAGUCCUAGCCUCGCCCAUCCUCCCAACCCAAACCAACAAAUCCGCUCAAUAGUUACCCGUAGGCCUGAGUUCCAUUCAAAAUCCAUCAGACUGAAUAUUUCUCCGUUCUCCUUUGGGGGGAAAAAAAAAGGAAGAGCAAUGAUUCAACAGGACUCCUCCCGUUCACUUUUAGUCAAAAAACCUAUAUUAUGACCUACUAUCUAAACACAUAGCCAUUGGCUAAAAUCAGUCUUCAACAGGGCGUCGAGCAAAGACUUG